GACGAACGCUGGCGGCGUGCUUAACACAUGCAAGUCGAGCGGGAAGGCCUCUAAGGGGGUAUACGAGCAGCGAACGGGUGAGUAACACGGGGGUGACCUGUCCUCAGCGCGGGGAUAAGCCUGGAAAACUGGGUAUAAUACAGGAUAGGACCACAUGUCGCAUGGAGUGUGGUGGAAAGCUUUGUCGGCUGGGGAUGGGACCGCGGCGUAUCAGCUUGUUGGCGGGGUGAUGGCAUACCAAGGCGACGACGGGUAGCCGGCCUGAGAGGGCGACCGGACACGCUACGACUGGGACACGGCCCAGACUCCUCCGGGAGGCAGCGGUGCGGAGUAUUACGCAGUGGGAGGAAGCCUGCCGCAGCGACGCCGCGUCGGGGAUGACGGCCUUCGGCUUGUAAACCUCUUUCGACCGGGACGAAGCGUAAGUGACGGUACCGGUAGAAGAAGCACCGGCCAACUACGUG
rnacentral:rRNA from 1 species